rnacentral:snoRNA from 1 species
AUGGGCUAUUAUCACCUUAGCUAUGACGCCUUCAGAUAGUUGCGGUAAACGAAGCCCAUAGAUUACGGUUAUCCUAACACGUUAGUUAUAUAAUUUCGGUUAUAUAACGACCAGAGUGAGAAGAAACACCAAGAGAAGGGCCUUCAUCCCUUCACUUUACCAUUUUCUAUUUCUUUUCAUUUUGAAAACGUGCUACAUUC